UACUGCAGUCGACGGUAGGCCCGCUUGCGGGUACACGAGUGGCGAACGGGUGAGUAACACGUGAGCAACCUGCCCUUGACUCUGGAAUAACAGCUGGAAACAGCUGCUAAUACCGGAUAUGACCUCUUGCGACAUCGCACGGAGGUGGAAAGCUCCGGCGGUCAAGGAUGGGCUCGCGGCCUAUCAGCUAGUUGGUGGGGUAACGGCCUACCAAGGCUUCGACGGGUAGCCGGCCUGAGAGGGCGACCGGCCACACUGGGACUGAGAUACGGCCCAGACUCCUACGGGAGGCAGCAGUGGGGAAUAUUGCACAAUGGGCGAAAGCCUGAUGCAGCAACGCCGCGUGCGGGAUGACGGCCUUCGGGUUGUAAACCGCUUUCAGCUUCGACGAAGCGCAAGUGACGGUAGGAGCAGAAGAAGGACCGGCCAACUACGUGCCAGCAGCCGCGGUGAUACGUACGGUCCGAGCGUUGUCCGGAAUUAUUGGGCGUAAAGGGCUUGUAUGCUGUUUGUCUCUUCGGAAUUGAAAACUCACGGCUUAACCCUGAGCCUGCAUCUGAUACGGGCAAACUAUAGGGAUGCAGGUCGAUAACAGAAUUCCUGGUGGAGCGGUGGAAUGCACAGAUAUCUUGAGGAACACCCGUUGCAAAGGCUGUUCUCUGGGAGUUUCAUGACUCUGAAAACGGAUUCUUUGGUCAAUAAAUCACGCUUA
rnacentral:rRNA from 1 species